GGGCCGCGGGUUCGAUCCCCGUUUCCCGCU
rnacentral:tRNA from 1 species